rnacentral:lncRNA from 1 species
GGCACCACCUCCGGCGGGUGACAGCAGGCUUCCCACGCCGCCCGCGAGGCGGAGGGGCCGCCCGGGCUGGCCGCGGGUUCCUCGGCAGGGUCGCAGAUGUCCUCCAGGGCUCCCGGGCAGGCAGGCUCCCCAUCCGGCGGCUCUCGGUGCUGCGUCUGCCGCUUGUGCUUCAUGCGCCGGUUCUGAAACCAGACUUUGACCUGCCUUUCGGUGAGGUCCAGCAAGGCCGCGAUCUCGACGCGGCGUGGCCGGCACAGGAAAAGAUGAGUGAGGAUCUCCGCGUUGGAGGAAGAGGGAGUCGAAAGAGGCUUCCACUCUUUGAAAAAGACCCAAUGGUGGUUGGGCUUCGGGUCACGUGACACCUUCUUUGUGGCUCCGGAAGAGGAUUGUGAAGUUUAGGUUUCGUGGAAGAAACCGUAAUCGGCCAGAUUUUCUUGGUGGUGGUGGGAAGGGGUGGGGGGUGGGGGGUGCAUGGACGCUGUGGCCAAAGGAGCUAACAGACGAAAGGUCAAUGAAUGAAAAACCUAGAGGCAUACAGGCCAAACAGAAAAACCUACAGAGAGCAUCCAAGAGUCCCCCGUUACCUCCCAACUUGCUACUUAAACCACAGCUGAAGAAGUUGGCAAAAUGUUACAGGCUCUUAUGAGUGAGAAAAUGGUAUUUAAACUUAAGACAUAUCAAGGGGGAGACAGGAACCUGGGCAGUGGACAAAAAGGCCAGGGAAGGGUCUUCAGUGUCCUUGUCCUUGUCCUUCUUCCCUUGGGGGAAAUUUGGCAGUCAGCAGCCUUGCUCUGCUAUCUAAAUUGGACCACCAGGACAAGAUAAAAUUGAUAACAGAAAGUUUAUUCAAGAAUUGUUUGACAGACAACCCUUUUAGGUAAGGAAAAAAGUAACUACUGAAGAACAAAGAAAGUUCCAAGAGGGAAUUAACUCUAGUUCUACAAAUUCAGGACUAUACAGUGACGAUUAGGAGCUGAGUUCAUGCCUUUUAGAACUAAUUACAAUUGUUCGUAAGUACGAGUUUAACAUAAAUCUACAGCUCUUUUCUAGAGUACAAUAGUAACUAAAAUAGCUGGUUUUACAUGACAGGAAACACAAUGUCCUUUGUAACAGGUAAAUACUAAAAAAGUACAAUUUUUUCCUUUUUUUCCCUCAUAUAAAUACAUAAUGUAGGGGGAUAAAUAAUACAAAAAAGAAAAUAUUUUAACAGGCUAUAACCAAUAAAUAUAUAUGAAAAUGUUCACUAGAACACACGCUUUUUUGAGCAAUGCUGGACUUCUGCAGGCCCAGACAUCUCUCACAGUUGUUUUUACAUCCAUUAAAAUGUAAAUUCUAAGUGCAACAAAAGUGUCCUGUCAGGAGGCUGAGCAAGGCACACAGGCCCUGCCCAGCCCCUGCCUGGGACAGUUUGUUCAAAUAUACCCUGUUUUCACGUUAAGUCAAGAGAGCAACAGAAGAAAAGUAUAGAACCUCGUGUCACCAACUGCUUUCUGUGGAGAGGGGGAUGGAGCUGGAGCUGAGAUGGAGGCAGCAGAAUGGGCAAACCUUCAGUCCUAACAACCUGCCUGCCCUAGCCUCCACACUUUUCCUUAAAAAAAAAUGUAUAUAAUUUAUAAUAUAGGCAGCUCUUUCAGGAUCUCUCACCAUCCCUGAGCCCUCUAAAAACUGUAAUUGAUGGGGGUGGGAUGUAUAGAUAUGAAUGUUCUAGAGCAGAAAAACCGGGGGCUAGAAGUGUACCUCAAUAAACCUCAAAUGGGAACAAAUUUGAGGUUUUGGGAAAGUUGGAAGGGAACGUGUUUUGUGCCUUUUGGGUUUGAAAUGUGUUUUCUUAUUUUUUAAAGGAUAAUUGAGGAAAAAAAAAAAUCAAGAUUUGGGGGGAAUUACCUACAAAGAUGUAAGGUGUGUUAAUUUGGGCGCUUCUUGGAUUCUACCCUGAGGAGGAGGCGCGUGGUGAGAGGAGAGCUCCACCAGCUGCGCGCUCGUGUACGCCGUCCGCGCCCGCUUGG